rnacentral:rRNA from 1 species
CUAACACAUGCAAGUCGAACGAAGUAGCAAUACUUAGUGGCAGACGGGUGAGUAACAUGUAGGUAUCUGCCCUUUGGCCUGGAAUAACACGAGGAAACUUGUGCUAAUACCGGAUAAGUCUUUACGGAGAAAGCUUUAUGCACCAUUGGAUGAGCCUGCACUUGAUUAGUUUGUUGGUGGGGUAAUGGCCUACCAAGACUGUGAUCAAUAGCUGAUUUGAGAGGAUGAUCAGCCACAUUGGGACUGAGACACGGCCCAAACUCCUACGGGAGGCAGCAGUGGGGAAUCUUGCACAAUGGAGGAAACUCUGAUGCAGCGAUGCCGCGUGAGUGAAGAACGCCUUUGGGUUGUAAAGCUCUUUCGUCGGGGAAGAAAAUGACUGUACCCGAAUAAGAAGGUCCGGCUAACUUCGUGCCAGCAGCCGCGGUAAUACGAAGGGACCUAGCGUAGUUCGGAAUUACUGGGCUUAAAGAGUUCGUAGGUGGUUGAAAUAGUCGGUGGUGAAAUC